GUGAAACAGAAAAUGAAUGCAGCAUCGUGUGCACUGUUGUAUUUUGGAAUAAAAUUGACAAUUAAAAUAUCAUGUAUUUGUCGAAUGAAAAAGAGGCAGAAGCAUUUCGUAAAAAUGAGCAGAAAAAAUGAAGAGGGGAAUGAAAAUUCGAGACAAUUUCCAAAAGUGUGAAAUAGAGUUCCUUUCUUGGAAUUCGCGAAACAAUGAGAUUCUUUGAUACGUUCGAGAAGGCAUUUGAUUUUUGCAAAUAAAAUUUGGCAGACAUGGAAUUGAUCAAUGGUCUUCCUUUGACUUAACAACAUUCAAACAACUGCCUCACUCUGUUAAUUCAACUGCAUAUCUUCAAGAUAUUUUCUUCAAAAAUUUACCUCCGACGGUGUGGAAGAUUCCCAAUAGUUAGGAUUGACCGACAAUGAACUCUGAUC
rnacentral:lncRNA from 1 species